rnacentral:rRNA from 1 species
CGGCGGACGGGUGAGUAACGCGUGGGUAACCUGCCUCAUACAGGGGGAUAACAGUUAGAAAUGACUGCUAAUACCGCAUAAGACCACGGUACCGCAUGGUACAGUGGUAAAAACUCCGGUGGUAUGAGAUGGACCCGCGUCUGAUUAGGUAGUUGGUGGGGUAACGGCCUACCAAGCCGACGAUCAGUAGCCGACCUGAGAGGGUGAACGGCCACAUUGGGACUGAGACACGGCCCAA